GCCUAGUUAGCUUGGAGGGUAGUGCGUCCGCCUUGUAAGCGCUAGGUCGCGGGUUCAUUUCCCGCCCUGGGUG
rnacentral:tRNA from 1 species